rnacentral:rRNA from 1 species
AAUAGAUACCCUGGUAGUCCAUGCCGUAAACGUUGGGCACUAGGUGUGGGGACAUUCCACGUUUUCCGCGCCGUAGCUAACGCAUUAAGUGCCCCGCCUGGGGAGUACGGCCGCAAGGCUAAAACUCAAAGGAAUUGACGGGGGCCCGCACAAGCGGCGGAGCAUGCGGAUUAAUUCGAUGCAACGCGAAGAACCUUACCAAGGCUUGACAUGAACCGGAAAAGACCUGGAAACAGGUCCCCCACUUGUGGUCGGUUUACAGGUGGUGCAUGGUUGUCGUCAGCUCGUGUCGUGAGAUGUUGGGUUAAGUCCCGCAACGAGCGCAACCCUCGUUCUAUGUUGCCAGCACGUGAUGGUGGGGACUCAUAGGAGACUGCCGGGGUCAACUCGGAGGAAGGUGGGGACGACGUCAAAUCAUCAUGCCCCUUAUGUCUUGGGCUUCACGCAUGCUACAAUGGCCGGUACAAAGGGUUGCGAUACUGUGAGGUGGAGCUAAUCCCAAAAAGCCGGUCUCAGUUCGGAUUGGGGUCUGCAACUCGACCCA